AAGGCUGCUGUAUCCUGUGCUACGCGCUCUCCUCUAUCUCUCUUCCAUUAUUCCCGUCGCCAGCUACCUCUCGUCUGCUCAUGGCUCCCCCACAUCCUACCUCAGCUCCAACGAUGCGCGUGCGACGGAAGUGACGGCCGGAGCACUCGUCCUCUUCCACUCCGGCAGCCAAACCACCCGGAUCUGGCGUCAUCUUCCACUCCGGCGGCCAAAUCACCUCGAGCCUACACAACGCCGGAUCUACAGAGGACGCGGUCCUCGUCCAUGGAUCUGGCCAAGGGAAAUCAUUUUCUCCAUUGUUUCCGUCGUCGCGGGAUUCCAUCAUCAUUGCCGAUUGCCAGUUGGGCCGCCGCGGCGAGAGCACACAGCUGUGCGGAGACGUCGGCUUUGACGUUUGCUCAGAGGCCACCAGCGGUUGGACCAUAAGGAUUAGGAUAAACCGCCUUACGAGCAACAUUUGAAGAGGUCUGCUUUUGCAAGAUUUGUGGAGUGCAAAAGCACAACAUGUCUUGGUAGAAGAGAUUUUUUGAAGGAGCCAAGGAAAUUGCCAAAAUGUUUGAAUGUGGUGUUCCGAAAUGUGUGUUUGAAGCUAACUUUCUUUGGAUGGUUGUUGUUGUUAGCCAAAGAGUUUCCAACUCAGGAAAUCCUUAUUUAUGUGCCGUUUCAUGUAAUCGCGAACUGUGUAAUGUGACUUUACUAUUGGACAUGGACCAUUUUGUUGAAGACUAAUAUUUGGGUGAAAAUUUGUGUUUGUUUACAUCA